AAAACUAUGGAAUAGUUAAAUAAAAUCUCCAAUCAGGGUUUCCAAUAAGAAAAUAAACACACUAAUAAUCAUGGUUUAUUACAUAUUUUUAUACAAGCACUUUGGUUUUGAUUUUCUUUAAUAUUGUUGAUUGUUUCUUAAUAAAAGUUUCAGUAAACAUACAGAAACAUCUAAAAAUCAUUAACCAAUCUACUUAUUUUGACAUUUAAUAUCAAUUUGGAAUAGCUUACAUCAUUCAUUCAAAAAUUAACAUCUUCAGAUCUCUCUCCCACAUUUUCACUUAGUUUCCAUUUCUUAACAUUUGUUCAUUUUUAAUAGUUAUCAGCCAAAACAUUAUUUGUUAACGUCUCCAAUGUAUUCUGAAAAUUGAUUAACCACAGAUCAUUUCAUACCUCCCUUCUUUUAUCAAAAAUGUUGUACCUCCUGAAGUUGGACAUUCUCCUAACUUUUCUUUAAUUUUUAAGUACUGAUGUUUGCACCAUUUAAUUACAAAUAUCAUUUCUUGUUUUAGAAAUCUUUGCUCUUCAUUACAUCUGGACAUCUGCUUUGAAAGCUUAUUGAACACUGCCUACCUUUAUGAAAAUGGCUCAGUUUGGGUAAACUAAGAAAUUUGUGUUAUAAUGAUGAAUGGACUUGUUAAUUUUUAUCUGCUGAAAGUAUUUUACAGGCAUCACAGGUUUUGUUAAUUUUUUUAAUUUUACUAAGUUAUGUUUCUCUCUUAUUUCUGACCCCCUCGGUUUUGUUAUUCAUUGUUAUCUCUUUUGUAAUCAGUGAAAAAAUAUCCUAACAGGACCACACACACACAACCUUUCUAUUCUUUCCCCAUCAAACAAAUUAUAAAAAAAAAAUAUCAAAUAACCUCUUUUGUCAUUAGCAUCUUGCAUAAUUUAGGCUGUCUGACCUUUAAAGCUUCACAAAAUCCUUUUCAGACACGUGGCAUUCAAGCAAUAAUCCAUUUAGCCAACGGAGAAGGUCCAUAUGAAAUGCCAAAUGUGGUGUUUUUGGUGAGGCAGCUCUCAACAGUUUAAAAGAAAAUUAUAUAUUUGUCUUUUCUUAAAUAGUGAAAAUGGGUCAUCUCUUUUGUAAUCAGUGAAAAAAUAUUCAAACAGGACCACACACACAACCUUUCCAUUCCUUCCCAAUCAA
rnacentral:lncRNA from 1 species